GCACUAAUCCCCCCAGGGGAACCUGGCCCUUAAUUCGAUGAUCCACGAAUCUCUCACCCCCCCUAGUCUCCCUAUUCCAACAGGAAAAAGAGAUUCAGCUUGCAUACCGCCGUUGUUCAGCUUAUACCGUGAGGGGAAAUAAAUAAGCAACGCAGCAGCCCAACAAGGCUGCUUCUAAUUCAGGUAAACGUGUAGCCAAUGGGGGGGGGCCGCUGGGUUACAGUAAUGGCUUAAUUGGAGCUUAUGUUAAAACAAAAUGCGAAAGAGGACUUGGAAGUAAUAACUCCAGCUAAAGGAGUUGUGAAUCGAGCUCUAGUGUGUGU
rnacentral:rRNA from 1 species